GUGGCCGUAGCUCAGUUGGUAGAGUCCCAGAUUGUGAUUCUGGUUGUCGUGGGUUCGAAUCCCAUCGGUCACCCCA
rnacentral:tRNA from 6 species